UACGUAGGGUGCAAGCGUUGUCCGGAUUUAUUGGGCGUAAAGAGCUCGUAGGCGGUCUGUCGCGUCUGCUGUGAAAACUCAGGGCUUAACCCUGAGCUUGCAGUGGGUACGGGCAGACUAGAGUGCGGUAGGGGAGACUGGAAUUCCUGGUGUAGCGGUGAAAUGCGCAGAUAUCAGGAAGAACACCCGUGGCGAAGGCGGCUCUCUGGAACGCAACUGACGCUGAGGAGCGAAAGCGUGGGGAGCGAACAGG
rnacentral:rRNA from 1 species